rnacentral:rRNA from 1 species
CCUACGGGAGGCAGCAGUGGGGAAUUUUGGACAAUGGGCGCAAGCCUGAUCCAGCAAUGCCGCGUGAGUGAAGAAGGCCUUCGGGUUGUAAAGCUCUUUUGUCAGGGAAGAAACGGUGUUUUCUAAUACAGAGCGCUAAUGACGGUACCUGAAGAAUAAGCACCGGCUAACUACGUGCAAGCAGCCGCGGUAAUACGUAGGGUGCAAGCGUUAAUCGGAAUUACUGGGCGUAAAGCGUGCGCAGGCGGUUUUGUAAGUUUGUCGUGAAAUCCCCGGGCUCAACCUGGGAAUGGCGAUGAAGACUGCAAGGCUAGAGUUUGGCAGAGGGGGGUAGAAUUCCACGUGUAGCAGUGAAAUGCGUAGAUAUGUGGAGGAACACCGAUGGCGAAGGCAGCCCCCUGGGUCAAAACUGACGCUCAUGCACGAAAGCGUGGGGAGCAAACAGGAUUAGAUACCCUGGUAGUCCACGCCCUAAACGAUGUCUACUAGUUGUCGGGUCUUAAUUGACUUGGUAACGCAGCUAACGCGUGAAGUGACCGCCUGGGGAUACGGUCGCAAGNUUAAAACGUCAAAGGAUUGACGG